CACGUAGGGGGCAAGCGUUGUCCGGAUUUAUUGGGCGUAAAGAGCUCGUAGGUGGCUGAGUAAGUCGGAUGUUAAAUCCCCAGGCUCAACCUGGGACACCACCCGAUACUGCCGGGCUUGAGGGCGGGAGGGGUGAUUGGAACUCCAGGUGUAGCGGUGAAAUGCGUAGAUAUCUGGAGGAACACCGGAGGCGAAGGCGAAUCACUGGACCGCUUCUGACGCUGAGGCGCGAAAGCUAGGGGAGCAAACAGG
rnacentral:rRNA from 1 species